AGGGAGAUAGAGGAGAGCCGAGGAGCAGCGAGCGGCGCGGGGUGGGAGCGGCCAACCGGAUACUCAGACUGGAGCGUUUUCAUUUGUGUUUCUCUCUCUCGGUUCCAAACGCUUUCUGGGUAAAGACUCGAGGCGAGUGUUGUAGUCAGGGUGAACUUGAGCUUUGCGUGUCGUCGAAGCCUUUGGAAGUGUCAGGGGAAAAAAUGAUUGAGAGUUAAGGUGUGGCAGAGCGUCUGUGUCAGUGCUUCCACACUGACACACCGACUGUUUCUCCUCCGCACUGACCACAGUCAAGCAACGGAGACUCUUUUCUUAACCAGUCUGCGGCUUUUAAAGGUGCUCUUCAGCCAUUUUCAUUAAGGGGGAAAUAUUACAUAACAAAUGUAUUGCCAUCUUGAUGUGCGCAUCUUUUGUCUUCGAGAUGAUUCGACUGUGAUUAUUCAAGUGCAGUAGUUGUUCUUCUCUUUGCUUGCAUAAGUGUGUGAGAUGUAACGGACGUGGCAACUUUACAGUAGCCAGCUCUGCUGAAUGCCACGGGCAAACUGGGCGUGAACACAGACCUAAUAAUAAUAAUCCCCAUUUCUGCCCUAAAACGCGGCUCAAAUUGCCCGGACCUGGCACAGCACAGCGUGAGCUCCGUGACAAGUGCUUCUCCGCGGAGCUGGUGGAUCCAUCUGGACAAAAUUUAGGUCCAUGCCAUCAGGAUCUACUGCCGGGAAGUUUCCAUGAGCGGAGGUCAGUGCCCGCCUGAUCCAUUCCCUGGGAACCGGCCUGUGAGUGCAUUAAAAGAUUGUGGAAGGAAGAAUGCAUGAGGCGUGUGGAGAGGAACGUUGAGUACAAUGAAUCCACGUUACCCACCCAACAGGAUGUGAUUAUUGUGCUUUUGACUCGCAUGCACAUGCACGCACUCACAUUUUAAGUGUUCUCUUCUUCCUCCAUCCAGAUAUGCUACACCAGCGCCACUAUGACCCGUACCUGUGACCUUUACGGCUGUUGUGCCAGCUUUGCAGGUUGAGGAAGCAGAACCCGCAGCAUCCCAGAAGAGAACAGAGAGGAACAUGGGCAAGGAGCAAGGGCUGGUCAAAUAAAAGACAAAGGUUGUUUGUAAUAUUUUUUAUCACAACAAAACUGUGUGUUGUACAUUUUCAGCUUGUGCGACCUUUGAUAAUAUAUGAACUCUGCUAAACUGAGAUUUUUAAUAAAUCGUUAAUCCUGAGACUUUCUGUAACACUUAACACAUAUUCAGAGGUGGAAAGUAAUGAAUUACAUUUACUCGCGUUACUGUAAUUGAGUAGGUUUUUUGUGUACUAAAAUUUGCUUUCACUUAAGUUUGCUUUUUUGGAAGUACUGUACUUUGUUACGUUUUAAAUCACAUUCAUUACU